rnacentral:rRNA from 1 species
GACGAACGCUGGCGGCGUGCUUAACACAUGCAAGUCGAACGGAAAGGCCCUUCGGGGUACUCGAGUGGCGAACGGGUGAGUAACACGUGGGUGAUCUGCCCUGCACUUUGGGAUAAGCCUGGGAAACUGGGUCUAAUACCGAAUAGGACCACGCGCUUCAUGGUGUGUGGUGGAAAGCUUUUGCGGUGUGGGAUGGGCCCGCGGCCUAUCAGCUUGUUGGUGGGGUAAUGGCCUACCAAGGCGACGACGGGUAGCCGGCCUGAGAGGGUGACCGGCCACACUGGGACUGAGAUACGGCCCAGACUCCUACGGGAGGCAGCAGUGGGGAAUAUUGCACAAUGGGCGCAAGCCUGAUGCAGCGACGCCGCGUGAGGGAUGACGGCCUUCGGGUUGUAAACCCCUUUCACCAGGGACGAAGCGUAAGUGACGGUACCUGGAGAAGAAGCACCGGCCAACUACGUG